rnacentral:rRNA from 1 species
GUGCACCAGUCGAGAAUUUUUCUCAAUGGGCAAAAGCCUGAAGGAGCGACGCCGCGUGGAGGAUGAAGGCUUUCGGGUUGUAAACUCCUGUCAUUUGAGAACAAGUGCCAACAAGUAACUACUGUUGGCUUGAUAGUAUCAGAAGAGGAAGGGACGGCUAACUCUGUGCCAGCAGCCGCGGUAAUACAGAGGUCCCAAGCGUUGUUCGGAUUCAUUGGGCGUAAAGGGUGCGUAGGUGGCGCCGUAAGUGGGGUGUGAAAUUUCGGAGCUUAACUCCGAAACUGCAUUCCAUACUGCGGUGCUUGAGGACUGGAGAGGAGACUGGAAUUCAUGGUGUAGCAGUGAAAUGCGUAGAGAUCAUGAGGAAGACCAGUGGCGAAGGCGGGUCUCUGGACAGUUCCUGACACUGAGGCACGAAGGCUAGGGGAGCGAACGGGAUUAGAUACCCGUGUAGU